rnacentral:rRNA from 1 species
UCUUCCGCAAUGGACGAAAGUCUGACGGAGCAACGCCGCGUGAGUGAUGACGGUUUUCGGAUUGUAAAGCGCUGUUGAGUGGGACGAACGGUAUCAUGGCUAAUAUCCAUGGUAAGUGACGGUACCACUUUAGAAAGCCACGGCUAACUACGUGCCAGCAGUCGCGGUAAUACGUAGGUGGCAAGCGUUGUCCGGAAUUAUUGGGCGUAAAGCGCGCGCAGGCGGUUUUUUAAGUCGGUCUUAAAAGUGCAGGGCUUAACCCUGUGAUGGGACUGAAACUGGAAGACUAGAGUAUCGGAGAGGAAAGUGGAAUUCCUAGUGUAGCGGUGAAAUGCGUAGAUAUUAGGAGGAACACCAGUGGCGAAGGCGACUUUCUGGACGAAAACUGACGCUGAGGCGCGAAAGCCAGGGGAGCAAACGG